UUCGUACCUCCUUUUGCACUGCAGCUUGUUUUCAUACGCAAAGGCCCCAACUAGCCAGGGUAUUCUUGAAGAAGAACCAAAGCUGGAGAAAGAUCUGUCAUGGUGCCAGUGUCAUUAAGGCAGCAGGGGAUUGGCAUAAAGACAGACGGGUAGACCAGUGGCACAGAAGAGCGUACAGAAAUAGGCCAGCACAUAGACGGUGGCCUUCUAGCAAAGGGGAGCUGCGGGAAGGGAGCCUUCCCCAGAAGUGCUGUGAUUGGUUACUGGUCACGACGCCAUCUGUCGCUUACAUAGUGAUUGGCGGACUGGAGAGCUAGCGGCAGAGCUCGCGCUUGCGGUCGCCAUAUCGCAGUAACUGACGUUUGAACCCUUGUGGUCGGGGUCUGGUGUUAUUCAGCUAAACCGUGGCGACUCCGAUUUGUGCACAUCGGAACCGUGCAAAGCAAGGGGUGCCUGUACUUGAAAGGAAGGGGUGCCGCUUACAUUCCAGGAUGUGGCUGUGGUCUUCGCAGAUUCAGAAUGGAAGGGACUGAGCUCUGAGCAGAGGAACCUACACAAAGAAGUGAUGCUGGAGAAUUACAGGAAUCUGCUCUGUUGGGC